rnacentral:rRNA from 1 species
GAUGAACGCUAGCUACAGGCUUAACACAUGCAAGUCGAGGGGAAACGGGGAAGCAGCUUGCUGCUUUCUGUCGUCGACCGGCGCACGGGUGAGUAACGCGUAUCCAACCUUCCCAUAACUAAGGAAUACCCCGUAGAAAUGCGGCCUAAUCCCUUAUGGUCUCUUAUACCUGACAUCGGAAUAAGAGUAAAGAUUUAUCGGUUAUGGAUGGGGAUGCGUCUGAUUAGCUUGCUGGCGGGGUAACGGCCCACCAGGGCAUCGAUCAGUAGGGGUUCUGAGAGGAAGGUCCCCCACAUUGGAACUGAGACACGGUCCAAACUCCUACGGGAGGCAGCAGUGAGGAAUAUUGGUCAAUGGGCGAGAGCCUGAACCAGCCAAGUAGCGUGCAGGAUGACGGCCCUAUGGGUUGUAAACUGCUUUUUAAGGUGAAUAAAGAGGGGCACGUGUGCCCUGUUGCAUGUAGCCUUGGAAUAAGGACCGGCUAAUUCCGUGCCAGCAGCCGCGGUAAUACGGAAGGUCCGGGUGUUAUCCGGAUUUAUUGGGUUUAAAGGGAGCGUAGGCCGCAGGUUAAGUGUGUUGUGAAAAGCAGUCGCCCAACGUCUGCCUUGCAGCGCAAAACUGUCCUGCUUGAGUGCGCACAACGCAG